rnacentral:SRP_RNA from 1 species
GCUGGGUGUGAUGGCGCAUGCCUGUAAUCCCAGCUACUCAGGAGGCUGAGGCAGGAGGAUCGCUUGAACCCGGGAGGUGAAGGUUGCAGUGAGCUGAGAUCAUGCCGCUGCACUCCUGCCUGGGUGACAGAGCGGGACUCUGCCUCAA